GAUGAACGCUGGCGGCGUGCCUAAUACAUGCAAGUCGAGCGAACAGACGAGGAGCUUGCUCCUCUGACGUUAGCGGCGGACGGGUGAGUAACACGUGGAUAACCUACCUAUAAGACUGGGAUAACUUCGGGAGACCGGAGCUAAUACCGGAUAAUAUAUUGAACCGUAUGGUUCAAUAGCGAGAGACGGUUUUGCUGUCACUUGUAGAUGGCUCCGCGGCGCAUUAGCUAGUUGGUAAGGUGACGGCUUACCAAGGCAACGAUGCGUAGCCGAGCUGGGAGGGUGAUCGGCCACACUGGAACUGAGACACGGUCCAGACUCCUACGGGAGGCAGCAGUAGGGAAUCUUCCGCAAUGGGCGCAAGCGUGACGGAGCAGAGGCGCGUGAGUGAUGAAGGUCUUCGGAUCGUAAAACUCUGUUAUUAGGGAAGAACAAAUGUGUAAGUAACUAUGCACGUCGUGACGGUACCUAAUCAGAAAGCCACGGCUAACUACGUG
rnacentral:rRNA from 1 species